rnacentral:rRNA from 1 species
AGAGUUUGAUCCUGGCUCAGAACGAACGCUGGCGGCGUGCCUAACACAUGCAAGUCGAACGAGAAAAUCCGGCUUCGGCUGGGUGAGUAAAGUGGCGAACGGGUGAGUAACACGUGGGCAAUCUGCCCUUAAGUUUGGGAUAAGCCCUCGAAAGGGGGUCUAAUACCGGAUAAUAUCCGGAGAUGGCAUCUUUUCCGGAUCAAAGGCGGAGCAAUCUGCCGCUUAGGGAUGAGCCCGCGUCCCAUUAGCUUGUUGGUGAGGUAACGGCUCACCAAGGCUGUGAUGGGUAGCCGGCCUGAGAGGGUGAUCGGCCACACUGGGACUGAGAUACGGCCCAGACUCCUACGGGAGGCAGCAGUAGGGAAUAUUGCGCAAUGGACGAAAGUCUGACGCAGCCACGCCGCGUGGAUGAUGAAGCUUUUCGGAGUGUAAAAUCCUGUCAGUGGGGAAGAACCGGUCGGGGAGUAACUGCCCCGGCCCUGACGGUACCCGCAGAGGAAGUUCCGGCUAACUCCGUGCCAGCAGCCGCGGUAAUACGGGGGGAACAAGCGUUGUUCGGAUUCACUGGGCGUAAAGGGCGUGUAGGCGGAUUUGCAAGUCAGAUGUGAAAACCGGCGGCUCAACCACCGGCCUGCAUCUGAUACUGCUAAUCUUGAGUACGGUAGAGGAAAGUGGAAUUCCAGGUGUAGCGGUGACAUGCGUAGAUAUCUGGAAGAACACCGGUGGCGAAGGCGGCUUUCUGGACCGAUACUGACGCUGAGGCGCGAAAGCCAGGGGAGCAAACAGGAUUAGAUCCCCUGGUAGUCCUGGCCGUAAA